rnacentral:rRNA from 1 species
AGUGAACGCUGGCGGUAGGCCUAACACAUGCAAGUCGAACGGCAGCACAGUAAGAGCUUGCUCUUACGUGUGGCGAGUGGCGGACGGGUGAGGAAUACAUCGGAAUCUACUUUUUCGUGGGGGAUAACGUAGGGAAACUUACGCUAAUACCGCAUACGACCUACGGGUGAAAGCAGGGGAUCUUCGGACCUUGCGCGAUUGAAUGAGCCGAUGUCGGAUUAGCUAGUUGGCGGGGUAAAGGCACACCAAGGCGACGAUCCGUAGCUGGUAGGAGAGGAUGAUCAGCCACACUGGAACUGAGACACGGUACAGACUCCUACGGGAGGAAGCAGUGGGGAAUAUUGGACAAUGGGCGAAAGCCUGAUCCAGCCAUACCGCGUGGGUGAAGAAGGCCUUCGGGUUGUAAAGCCCUUUUGUUGGGAAAGAAAAGCAGCAGGUUAAUACCGCGCUGUUCUGACGGUACCCAAAGAAUAAGCACCGGCUAACUUCGUG